rnacentral:rRNA from 1 species
CCUANGGGGGGCAGCAGUGAGGAAUAUUGGACAAUGGGCGCAAGCCUGAUCCAGCCAUGCCGCGUGCAGGAUGACGGUCCUAUGGAUUGUAAACUGCUUUUAUACGAGAAGAAACACUCCUUCGUGAAGGAGCUUGACGGUAUCGUAAGAAUAAGGAUCGGCUAACUCCGUGCCAGCAGCCGCGGUAAUACGGAGGAUCCAAGCGUUAUCCGGAAUCAUUGGGUUUAAAGGGUCCGUAGGCGGUUUAGUAAGUCAGUGGUGAAAUCUCCCAGCUCAACUGGGAAAUGGCCAUUGAUACUGCUAGACUUGAAUUAUUAGGAAGUAACUAGAAUAUGUAGUGUAGCGGUGAAAUGCUUAGAGAUUACAUGGAAUACCAAUUGCGAAGGCAGGUUACUACUAAUGGAUUGACGCUGAUGGACGAAAGCGUGGGUAGCGAACAGGAUUAGAUACCCGGNUANUC